rnacentral:rRNA from 1 species
AGAGUUUGAUCAUGGCUCAGGGUUAACGCUGGCGGCGUGCCUAACACAUGCAAGUCGAACGGUUCUAAGCGCGAGCUUAGGAUAGUGGCGAACGGGUGAGUAAAAGGUAGGAAUCUACCCCUUGGACGGAGAUAGCUACUGGAAACGGUAGGUAAACUUCGAUAAGCCCGAGAGGGGAAAGUGGUGAGACAGCCGAGGGAUGAGCCUACUCUCCAUCAGGUAGUUGGUGAGAUAAAAGCUUACCAAGCCGAUGACGGAUAACCGGUGUGAGAGCAUGAACGGUCACAAGGGCACUGAGAGACGGGCCCUACUCCUACGGGAGGCAGCAGUGGGGAAUCUUGGACAAUGGGCGAAAGCCUGAUCCAGCGACGCCGCGUGGAGGAAGAAGUCCUUCGGGAUGUAAACUUCUGAACUAGCCGAAUAAAAGGCCUGUGGACACACAGGAGAAGAAAGUAGGCUAGGAAAAGUCCCGGCUAACUACGUGCCAGCAGCCGCGGUAAGACGUAGGGGGCAAGCGUUACCCGGAAUUACUGGGCGUAAAGGGGGCGUAGGCGGUAAAAGAAGUCAUCUGUGAAAACCUAUUGCUCAACGAUAGGCUAGCGGAUGAAACUGAAUUACUUGAGGGCACCAGAGGUAGACGGAAUUACCCGAGUAGGGGUGAAAUCCGCAGAUACGGGUAGGAACGCCGGUGGAGAAGUCGGUCUACUGGGGUGCACCAGACGCUGAGGCCCGAAAGCUAGGGGAGCAAACCGGAUUAGAUACCCGGGUAGUCCUAGCCGUAAACGAUGCUCACUAGGUGUAGGGAGUGAUAAACUCUCUGUGCUGAAGCGAACGCGCUAAGUGAGCCGCCUGGGGAGUACGUCCGCAAGGAUGAAACUCAAAUGAAUUGACGG